GUAGACUACUUCAGAGAAAAGAUUGAACCCUAACUUUCUCCUUCUUGGUUGAACGAUUGUGAUCCUCCUCCUCUGCUGGUACUGCUCAUCUUGGCGACCCUCCUCUAUCCGCCGGCGACUGCUUGUGCGACCCUCUUCUCUACGUUGCUGAGGCUAUUCUUCAAGAUUCCAUUCAGAACUCAAAUGAAGAACGUUAACACCAUCCAUGAUGAAAAAAAAUGAAGAAAUUUCUGCUAUUAAGAAGCAACAUAAAGAUGAAAUGACUGGUAUGAAGAGGUAGAUGGAUGGAUUAACAUUACUUGUAAGGAACAUGUUGAAGCUACAACACCCAAAUUUAGAUGAAGAAGAGAUCUCUAAUAUGAUGGAAGCUGCUCUUGGCAAUGAAAAUAGUGUAGCUCCGCAUCGACCUAUGUUCCUCCUCACGAAAAGAAUGAGGAGAAUGAUGAUUUUCAUGAAAAAGGAGAAGGAGAAGAAGAAGUAGAAGAAUAUUGAUUACUCUUGGAAUUGAUAGUAUUUUCUAAUAUUGAAAGAUUGUUUGGAACUUAGGAUGACAUCUUGAGAUUUUAUUUUGUUGGUGUUUAUGUUGAUUUUAACAUUGUCAUGAAUUGACUAGAAGCUGUCAAGUUGAACAGGAUUAGGCAUUGCUAUGAUUUGGUCUUAGUUUCAUGUGAUUCAGUUUUUUGUAUUGGCUCUAUCUCUUGAUAUUGGUUGAACUAAUCUUGGGCUUCUUUUAAAUGAAUUAACUUAUGAAGAAAAAGUUGAUUGUAA